ACCGCCCGUAGAGUUUGAUCCUGGCUCAGGACGAACGCUGGCGGCGUGCCUAAUACAUGCAAGUAGAACGCUGAAGGAGGAGCUUGCUUCUCUGGAUGAGUUGCGAACGGGUGAGUAACGCGUAGGUAACCUGCCUGGUAGCGGGGGAUAACUAUUGGAAACGAUAGCUAAUACCGCAUAAGAGUAGAUGUUGCAUGACAUUUGCUUAAAAGGUGCAAUUGCAUCACUAAGAGAU
rnacentral:rRNA from 1 species